GAUAGUGUGGCUGAAAUAGCACUAAACUGUAAAUUUAGGUAUAGGUUAUCCUCUCUAUCU
rnacentral:tRNA from 1 species